UACGAAGGGGGCUAGCGUUGUUCGGAAUUACUGGGCGUAAAGCGCACGUAGGCGGAUAUUUAAGUCAGGGGUGAAAUCCCAGAGCUCAACUCUGGAACUGCCUUUGAUACUGGGUAUCUUGAGUAUGGAAGAGGUAAGUGGAAAUUCCGAGUGUAGAGGUGAAAAUUCGUAGAUAUUGGAGGAACACCAGUGGCGAAGGCGGCUU
rnacentral:rRNA from 1 species